UCGUGACCUGGCUGAAGUCGGACACUUAACCAACUGCGCCACCCAGGCGCCCCUGCUUUUAGUUUUAAAUUUACCUUUUGAAAAAGCAUAAUUCUAUGUUACAAAAUAACUUAUUGUGCUUCACGUUAUCUUUGUCCUCAGGCCUUUGCUUAAGUAAACCUAGUCUUCUCAAGAGCUGAGUUUUGCUCAUAAAAUCUGGCUACAACUCUCCAAACGAACAUUUCCAACUUUUCCCCCUACCCUUAUAACUUGGAAUCACUGAGAAAUAAAACUGCCCUUGGCACAAAGCCACAUCAGCUAAGAAAUGUUUCUUACUAAAUACCCAACUGCUUGUACCAUAUAGGCCUAACUUGGGUAACCCACCUGUAUCACUGCCUCCUGAAAUAAGACACAAACCUUUAACUGAACUAACCUAUUCUCAGGACGAAGAGACUGGUUCAGUGAGAUAUGGAGCAUCCAUCAACUCAGGACAGGUUUAAACCUACUUAUACCAUAUGGCCUCGAACAAUUUAAAUAGAACUAUCAUUCCAUUUGUAACUAAGUGGAUGGAACUAGAGGGUACUAUGCUAAGUGAAAUUAGUCAGAGAAAGACAAAAAUCAUAUGACUUCACUCAUAUGAGGACUUUAAGAUACAAAACAGAUGAACAUAAGAGAA